rnacentral:rRNA from 1 species
AGGUUGACCUCGGAUCAGGUAGG